rnacentral:siRNA from 1 species
AGGGCACGUCUGCCUGGGUGUC